rnacentral:rRNA from 1 species
CGCGUAGGCGGCCUUCUAAGUCGAACGUGAAAUCCCCGGGCUCAACCCGGGAACUGCGUCCGAGACUGGAAGGCUUGAAUCCGGGAGAGGGAUGUGGAAUUCCAGGUGUAGCGGUGAAAUGCGUAGAUAUCUGGAGGAACAUCGGUGGCGAAGGCGGCAUCCUGGACCGGUAUUGACGCUGAGGCGCGAAAGCCAGGGGGAGAAACG